rnacentral:lncRNA from 1 species
CAUGCAUGCAAAAAAAUUAACACAGCACGGUUAAUUACUAACCUGAUUUGAUGCGCCAGGUAAUUAACAAACUGAUGGAUGAGGUUUUAUUUACAAUACCCUGAGCUGGUCGUAUUCAUAGCGGUUGACGCCGAUGGGCCAGUUGGAGUAGGAUCCCUUGAAGAAGCGGUUGGACCACCAGCGCGGGACGUAGAUGUCGGUGGCGUUGGGGACAUCGACGUCGGGGAACAUCUUCCGCAGCACCGCCACGGCCUCCGCCUUGGUGACGUCGUCGGGCUGCUGCUCGAUCCGCCGGGACUCGUCGUCGGUGACCGUGACCAGGAGCACAGGUACGCCCGGGUACUCCCGCUCGAACGACUGCCACAUGCCGUAGUAGCCGCGGCGCCGGCUGGCGUACACGAAGAACUGCUUGCCGUCGCCCACGGGCCAGAACCGCCGGGGGAACUUGAGGAAGAUCUUGGUGUACACCGCCAUGUCGAACCGGUAGAUCGAGAAGAUCUUCCAGAACUGGUUUAGUUUAUUUCAGAACAGAUUUAAUGGCGGGAUAUAUAGAUGACACGUAUGAUUGGAAUCAUAUUAUGCAGCUAGUACUGGAACUGACAGGCAGCUGGGGCUUGAACUGUAUGAGGUCGCUCUGCAGGACGCCCAGGCUGGUGGAGACGACGACGAAGUCCGCGGCGUACGACGAGCCGUCCUCCGUCUUCACCACCACGCCGCGGUUGUUGUAGGCGAUCUGUCGCACCACCUGCACAUCAUAAUGUACAUGCAUGUGUGCACCACACGUUAUUAAUAUACCAUAUACGGAGCUUAAUUAAACGUGUUACUGGUAUUUUUGAAUUUUGAGCGGAAAGGCCAGCUUAAGAAGCAAACGACCUGCGGCUUUUCCCAUCAAGUUUAGGUAAAUGUCGCUUCAUUUAAUUUGUGUGUACCGAGCCGCGCUUCUGUUUUUGAUGUCUCCGACACGUUUGUUCCAGUGCUUUAGGUACCGUUUGCAUCCACGGUAGUCAGUUAAAAAUUAGCCCAGAUGGUUCAAACAAUCAGAUUAAAGGUGGGCUAAAAAUUAGACAACUUCUUACUAAACUUUUCAUUAGCCCUCCAAACCCAGCUAAUUUUAGACAUGAAUGACAUAUCAAAAAUACCCUCUCACUACAACCUUACGUACCUUUUGAUCCUACACUACACUUACUUAAGGAUAGAAUAGAUUUUACUAAUAAAUAGGCUAAAAAUUAAAUCCUGCUCCAAACAAGAGUGAAGUUUAGACGUGUAAAUUUUAGUCGGGACUAAAUUUAGUUUUAGUCCAUCCAAGCAGGCGUUUAACGUUUAAUAACGAUGAAGAAUAGCAACCUACCGAGUGGGCCUCCAUCCUGAAACCACAUACUUGUGCGUAUUAUAUUGUGGUUGAGUUUCUGUACUGUAUCUCUCUGGAGCAUCUCUGUCUUUUUUUUUUUCAGUUUUUAAAUGAUUGUCGUUUCCAGAUAGCGAUAUACUCGGACCAAUCUCAUCACAGUCGUAUUGUUCGUGCGUUCUCAAUCAAUUUGGUUCUGUCCGAUCUCGUUUUAUUUGUUGCGUGUAAUAAUUUCCACGUACACAGUAUAGAUACCUUGUUGAGCAGGACCCUGCGGUCGGAGAUCUUGCCGUUGGCGUUGGUGGAGAGGUAGGAGCUGCCGAUGUAGUGUAUGAUGGACUCGAACCCCCUCUGGUCGGCGACGAAGUUGGAGUCCUCGCCGAAGUCGGCGUUGGUGGGCGUCGGCUCCGUGUUCUGCAGGCUGGUCACGCGCGGCGGCUCCGCGAACUCGUAGUCGAACUUGUAGUAGUCCAGCGCCAUGUCCACCGGCGUCGACGGCCCGUUCGGCUGGCUGCACAUGCACACCGACGGCGACGAUGGAUCGUCGUCGAUCGAUCAUUUCGUUCAUCGGCGACGCACGGCACGCAACGCGAUCAGAUUCAGAUCAAGGUAGACGACGAGACGAAGGACGUACUGGUUGAACAGGCGUUGCAUGGCUAGGAUGGAGAUGUCGUCGCGGCCGCUGGGGUCCAUCAUCUUGGUGAGGUUGGCGCCCA